rnacentral:lncRNA from 1 species
CUACUUAGCAUAAAUAGCAUAAGUAUGAAAGCAACUAUGCAUGAAGUAAACGUCUCCAACUAUCAUGAUGUUCACAAUGUGAAAAAGUAAAGUUCCGUUGUUUACUAUUCUAGUCAAUGUCCAAGUAGUACACUAAGUCAUCAUCUGUCCAUAUGUCAUAAUGGAUACAUAAAGUCAAAUCUGAAGAGACCCACCCGAAGGCUGUCUAUGGCCCUGAGACCCACCCGUAGGCUGUCUGGCCGGUGCCGAGCCUAAUGGCCCUGUGGUAGUCAUCAUCCCCACCCUAGGAAUGAGCCUGGCCCACGGCAAUCCACUUCGGCGCCCAAUCCCGCACGGCGAAUAUGAAUCGCGAUGGCCAUCUCCGGAGUGCCGGCUUGUAGGGAGCGACCCUCACAAGCAUGUGCGAAUGAGCACAAUGG